UACGUAGGGGGCAAGCGUUGUCCGGAUUUAUUGGGCGUAAAGAGCGUGUAGGCGGCCAGGUAGGUCUGCUGUGAAAACUCGAGGCUUAACCUCGAGCUGUCGGCGGAAACCAUCUGGCUAGAGUCCGGAAGAGGAGAAUGGAAUUCCCGGUGUAGCGGUGAAAUGCGCAGAUAUCAGGAAGAACACCCGUGGCGAAGGCGACUCUCUGGGACGGUACUGACGCUGAGACGCGAAAGCGUGGGGAGCGAACAGG
rnacentral:rRNA from 1 species